UGGGGAAUUUUGGACAAUGGGCGAAAGCCUGAUCCAGCAAUGCCGCGUGCAGGAAGAAGGCCUUCGGGUUGUAAACUGCUUUUGUACGGAACGAAAAGGCUCUUUCUAAUAAAGAGGGCCCGUGACGGUACCGUAAGAAUAAGCACCGGCUAACUACGUGCCAGCAGCCGCGGUAAUACGUAGGGUGCGAGCGUUAAUCGGAAUUACUGGGCGUAAAGCGUGCGCAGGCGGUUCUAUAAGACAGAUGUGAAAUCCCCGGGCUCAACCUGGGAAUGGCAUUUGUGACUGUAGAGCUAGAGUACGGUAGAGGGGGAUGGAAUUCCGCGUGUAGCAGUGAAAUGCGUAGAUAUGCGGAGGAACACCGAUGGCGAAGGCAAUCCCCUGGACCUGUACUGACGCUCAUGCACGAAAGCGUGGGGAGCAAACAGGAUUAGAUACCCAUGUAGUCCCUGAGCGGGCUGGCAAGGCGCAU
rnacentral:rRNA from 1 species